CAAACACAGCCCUAAAACUGGACAGCUUUUGUGCCUGAGACAUCCAAAGAGCUCUGCAGCUUCAACAAAAUGGGAUGAGGUUCAUCUUCCUUAAAGAUCCCUCUCCUGAAGCAAUAUUAAGCAGAGAUACCAGACUUCUUUUUGAAGCUCCUUUUCCUCCUACGUGAACUGGACCCCACAGGAUUUCUGAGAAGCAGCAGCAGCAGAGGCUGGCUGAGAGGGAAAAGAUGCUUGGUCUGACAAGGCAGGACAGAGCAGCAGUCUCAAAGACCACGUUGCAGGGAUGUUCAAGUGAAGUACAGAAGCGACUCUGAAGUGCUGUGUUCAGGCUCUGGGUCCUGCGAUCCCCUAAGCCAGACAGCAUUCAUGCCCACACUUGGUUGAUGUAAUUGUUGUGAGCCAGGCAAGUACUUUUAGUGUGAAGUCUGGGGCUGUCAACAGGUUGCAAAUAGACAAGUAAGUUCUCCAUAGUUGUGGUCAGAGAUUUCUGCUGCUCUUAGAGAUCAAGUCUACCCUUAGUAAAGUGCUGCAAAAAGGGUCAAGUUCCUAAAGAAGUAAAAACCUGAGAACUGAGUCAUUGCCCAUUGCAAAGACAAGUAACAUCACUCUAAAUUUUUAUUAGGAGAAACACUUAAUAGAAUCAUUUAGGAUUGAAAAGACCCUUAAAAUCCAACACAUAUUGCCUUCUUUUUUACCUUUAAAGGACGAAAUUGACACAAACACAUUUAUUUCAUUGAAUUAGCAUAAAUUGUGGGCUUCUCUAAUUUUGCCAGCCAGGAGUCUCACAAGAGAGUAACACCCAGAGUACACCCAGUAAGAUUUCCAAACCACUGCUCUUAGGUUUGAAAUUUUGUGAGAAUAGCCUUUUCCCUGGCAUUUUGGUGCUCUUUCUUCAAGUGAAAAAUGGAAACACAGAGGGCUCAA